AAAACCCUUUUGUAACAUGACUGAUUGUUUUCCUUUCUGAAUUUCUCUUUCCUUAAACUGCAGAACUGGUGAAAUGUGUCCUUGUACUAGUCUAGCUCUUAGAUGUUUUUACCAAAGAAAAUGCUCCUUUCACUUCAUUGUUUAGAGAUGAGAUGGUGGGUGCAGCUGUGAUAUAUAUCUUUCCAAUCUGAAUAAAAACCUGAAAACACAUUAGAAUCUGUGUCUGUUCUUCAACUGUUUUCUUCCUCAGAUCUGAGCAAAAAGACAUCAUUGUCUUGUUUAUCCUGAGUAGUGUGGCAUGGGCCAGGGGGGCCGUAACAUUAAUGUUUUCAUCCUCUGAACGUUUGUCACUGGGCUUGAGCCGAAGAGGUAAGGACGUUAUUUGUGUGGAAAGUGGAAUAUCUCAGCACUUCUUUAUAAUAUUCCAAAAUUGUUUAUAGACAUAUUGGGCAUUUUUGAACAGUAGCCUACAGACACGUCUCAUCUGUACGUGAAAUAAACGACCACUAGGUGGUGGAAUGGUUCGCUGGCUGGAAAAACAGGCAGUCAAACCAAGAAGCAAGACGGAGCGUCCCGGUGGUCUACCCUCAGAAAGGACAACAUCCCAGCUUUACAUGUGAAAACAUUUAUUUGUUGCCUCAGAGAGUGGUAUCCCAGGAGCUGGUACUCAUCCACCAUUGCUACUGGCUAAUUAGCCUUCUUUCUCCGGGGAGGACUGUUCUCAAUUUGACCUUUUCUGAAGUCUUCUCCUACCUCCUGUGUGUACUAGCUGCCGAUCUGCACAGAAAAGACAAGAUGAACAAAAGCCACGCAUCAAGCUGAACGCAUCCCGUUUGAAAAGACGGCAACUAAGAGGAUCCAGAAGCUGGAGCUGACGCAUCCACAGAGUGCAGGCUGGGAUGUGACUCCACUGAAGCUUGAAUCUUUGCCUCACUAUCAGUGUAAGACGGCUUUUGAAGUGAGUUGAAAGAACUUAAAUCUGAUGAUGACUGGCUGCACCUCUUCAUCUGUGACUAUGAGUGUGUGUACGUAGCAUACCUAAUGAAAACGCUGCUGUUUCAAAUUUCCUCUGAAACUGCCUGAGAUUAGAAAGCUGAUAUCCAUCUGCAUGGACAGCAGUCUAUUGCACAUCAAGUAAAGGACUGAAACUAUUGCAUCACUUUAGAAGCCAUAGGUUCUAAAUCAAUAUUCAUAAGUCAGAUCUUUAAGUAAUGAUCCUACCUGUUCAUGAGCUAUCAGCACAGAUGAAGAAUGGUGGAUCUGUUACAUGGAUCAAACAAACAAAUGCACUACUCUGGUCUGAAGGCACAAAAAAUAAAGCCAGUUACAACAUAUUCAGACAUUUGCUGUUGAAAAUAAUGUUAAAUCAUUAAAUCACAUCGUUACUAUCAAAUUAAAAGAACAGUUCUUAAAAAAAUGCAACUGACUGGCUAUAUUUUUUGCUCAGUAAUACAAGUCAGAGGUGUGGAUUUGAGUUAUAAUCAGUAAGACUCGAGUCACAUCGCUUUAAAUUUCACUUGAAUGCAAUAUAAAAGACAUUGGACUUGGACUUUCACACCAAAGACUUGUAACUUUAUUUAGAUGUGAAUCCUUUGACUUGAUACCCAUGGAUCAGACCUGAUGGAGCCAUAAUUUUGAAAAUGACAGCUGAUUUUGUAGCAAAGCCCGUCACAAUUCUUUUUAAUCUUUUGAUCCAAAACAAAGAAAUCCCUUUAUUGUGGAAGUCAGGUUUUGUUAUUCCUUUAUAAAAAAGAGGUGACACAGCAGGUUUUAACUAUCCAUAGGUCAGUGUCAAAUUUGUGUCUUGAAUCUUGUGUUUUCUGUCCACUAAAAGAGAGGAACAAAAGUGAUUAGUGCUAUGCUUAUUGCUUUUAUCAAAAGCAGUACUGUGCGUCUCUUUUUAUCCAUCUGUCAAAAGAUAGUGACACUGUUGACUAUGGUGUUUUAAAGCACAGACUUCUUUGCUUGGGACAGUCAGAUCAUGUAGAUUCUUACAAAUUAUUUAAGUGACUGUAUAAAGUGAUAGUCUGUGUUCUUCAUUUUUGAUUGACCAAAAGGAGGUGCCACAGGGUUCCAUAUUAGGUAUCCUCAUGUUCAUGUUGUAUAUUGAUUAUUUAAGACAAAAUGUGUCAAGUGCUGUUUAUGCGUUUUUAUGCUGAUGACACAAUUAUUCACAGUUUUGGAUUAAAUGCGUCUAAAGCUGAAGAGUCUGCAGAGAUCCCCACAUUAAUAAACCUGUGAAGAAACUUAAACUAAAAUGGCUUUUUUUUCUUUGGAAACAAAUACAAAUUUUCUUUUAAGUUGAAUAAACAACAUUUUUAUCUUAGAUUACAGAGACGCCUCUGAUGAACAGUCUUUGUUUAACAAUCAUUGUAAUCUGUACAGUCGAGCGGGAUGACCUCCUUUUUCCACCAGGAGGUUGGAACAUUGGUAAAGUCUCAUUUAUGACACCAUGUUUGGGCUGUUGCCUCUCUCCGUGUGUGAUUUAAUGACACAGACAAGCGUUGAUUCUUACUCUUUGCAUUCAAAUGAUAAUUUUUUGCUCUCUGUUCCAUUUUUACUCAGUUCUGUCUACAUGGAAAAUGUUGCAAAAUGCCUGAAAAUAACAGAACCUAUGUCAUUGAGCACAGUUAGGCUCAGACUAAGAGCCCUAGAGAUGGAGUUCUUAAAUUGUGACUGUUUUUAGUAAUUAUUUGUUAUAAUUAUUUAAAUCUCAGUCAGGGCUCCCUUAGAAAAGAGCUUUUAAAUCUUAGUGGGACUUUUCUGGUUAAAUAAAGGUUGUUGCUGUUUUUCUUUUUUUUCUUUUCUUUAUUUACACUCAAGAUUUAAUGUCUAAGACUCGAUUUGAAACUUGCAUACCUUGACUUUUGUACCCAACUUAAUUGUGACUUGCAAAGCAAUACCUUUGGUAACUCUUCUACUAAAAACAUUAACCAAGUUUUCCAAGAAUCCGUGAGAUACCUCAUGUUUAAACAAGUUGGUGUCAGAAAAGUGUGCAAUUAUUUUGCAUGAGUAUUCAUUCUGUCAAGCUGUCUGCAUGAAUGGCCAUUAUUUUGAAAGUAACUGACAGUUUUACAUUACAUUUUGGAGAGCCAAAAUGUGCAAAAACUUCUCUUUGUCUGCUCAGUUUUUGAGCUGACAGCACCCUCAAAUUAAAGCUGUCAGUCUACAUGUCUGUUUCCUGUCAACUUGUUACUCCACAUCCAGUGCACUGACUGGAAAAGUUUGUAUCAAAAUGUUUGGGUACAUUUUACAUCACUCAUUCAGUGCCAUGUGUAUUUAGCUGAACAGUCGUUUUCUAACAUGUAAAUUAUAUCAUCAGCUCUGUGAGUGAGGUGCAGGAAACAAGAGAAAAUUGAGGGCAAAGACACAAAGUUAGGAUAGAAGAGUUCAGGAACAGAACCAUAGACAGCGUGAAAGUCUUUGGUGCUAAUGUGGGGCCUGAGUGUGUAACCUCACUCUCAGGGUGCUCUGAUUAAAGAAUGAUUUAUAGGCCUGUUGGAGAGCCCUCUCAGCAAUCCGUCUCCUCAAUGAGAUUUUUUUCCUCUUUCAAGAGGUUUGGUAAAUCAAGCCAUCUUUGCAAGGAUCUCAUGUGGACAAUGUCAAUGUGUUAGUGAGAGGGAGUCAUUAAAUGCUAUGAUCAUAAAAAACAUGGUGGGUGUGUGUGGGGGGACUAUAUUUGGAGGGAGUGUGUUCGUAGAUGCAUAAAGAUACUUAUUUAUCACAUACGGUGUUGCUUGUGAUUCUGUCAAUGAAAUAAAUCACCUUGUGGAUACACAUAGACAUGCAUUGCCUUAACUGAUUGAUCACCAGAAUAAUUCUGAUGUUUCAGGUUAAAGAUUCAUUUAUAUAUGAAAAUGUGUAAGCUGUACAGUCAUGCAUUUAAUAAAAGCAUUAACUAUAAUUUA